UACGGAGGGGGCUAGCGUUGUUCGGAAUUACUGGGCGUAAAGCGUACGUAGGCGGUCUAUCAAGUCAGAGGUGAAAGCCCGGGGCUCAACUCCGGAAUUGCCUUUGAAACUGGCAGACUUGAACAUGGGAGAGGUGAGUGGAAUUCCGAGUGUAGAGGUGAAAGUCGUAGAUAUUCGGAGGAACACCAGUGGCGAAGGCGGCUCACUGGACCAUUGUUGACGCUGAGGUACGAAAGCGUGGGGAGCAAACAGG
rnacentral:rRNA from 1 species